rnacentral:rRNA from 1 species
GAUGAACGCUGGCGGCGUGCUUAACACAUGCAAGUCGAACGAAGCAUUUAGAACAGAUUAUUUCGGUAUGAAGUUCUUUAUGACUGAGUGGCGGACGGGUGAGGAACGCGUGGGUAACCUGCCUUGUACUGGGGGCUAGCAGCUGGAAACGGCUGGUAAUACCGAAUACGCGAACAAUGUUGCAUGACAGGGUGUGAAAAACUCCGGUGGUAUAAGAUGGACCCGCGUCUGAUUAGCUAGUUGGUGAGAUAACAGCCCACCAAGGCGACGACCAGUAGCCGACCUGAGAGGGUGACCGGCCACAUUGGGACUGAGACACGGCCCAGACUCCUACGGGAGGCAGCAGUGGGGAAUAUUGCACAAUGGAGGAAACUCUGAUGCAGAGACGCCGCGUGAGUGAAGAAGUAAUUCGUUAUGUAAAGCUCUAUCAGCAGGGAAGAUAGUGACGGUACCUGACGAAGAAGCUCCGGCUAAAUACGUGCCAGCCGCCGCCGUAA